AGCUCUUUGCGCCACACUUGACGUUCUCCAGCUCCUCAUCUUUCUGACGUAGUUGCUCGCUCAGCCUCUGGAUCUCCUGGAAAGAGCACUUGUGAUCACUAUGUAGCCGAUUUCUUUGCACAAACUCUCCAGCAGUGACUUGGACGGCCCGACCACCAGCGUCUGCUUGUCGCCCACCGCCAUGCAAAUCCUUUCGUGGCCGGCCAGCCUCAACUUGAGCUCGGCUAUGAUGUUGUCCUUGAUCGCCAGCUGCUUUGCGAGGAGCUCCAUCUCCUGUCGGCUCUCGUGGUACAGCGUGUUGAGCGUGCUGUAGCUCCGUGUCUUGUCAGCGUCGGCUGGGUCCAUUUUUUUUCCCCUUGGCUUUGGUUAAGUUUUACUAAGCCACCAUUUGACGGUUUCCCGAGCCGUGUUUCCCUUCGAAUUGAGCCGAGGAAGGCGCACUGUUGAUAGGGCGGUGCGGCUUCACGCUGUCGACGAUAAUAUAACCGAGCGGGGGAUUUCCUGGGGAAGUUCCCUUGGAAUUUUGGAGAUUCGUCAAAGUGAGCACUGUGUACCCUUGCAGACUCACCGUCUCCAAGCGACAUGAUGAGACAAAUUGUCAAUUUGUUCUGUUUGAUUUCUUUAAAUGACCCCCCGAAAAGAAAUAUCAGAUAAUCGUGAAAAAUCGAAGUGCUGGUGGCGCGUUCAAUGACUGUGGGAAGUCCAUCGAUUUCAAAUCGAAUUAAAUGAACCUCCGACGAAUUGAAUAUGAAUGAUUGUGUAGAUGUUUAUAAAAUGACUCAAAUACCUGCGCUGAUGUUGACUCAUGGGUGUUUGGCAACGAUUUGGACUAGAACAUUGCAAAUCGCCGUAUGCCAACGUAGUUUACAGGGUGUCUACACUUACCCGUAAACGCGGCAUCACAACGAAUUCCCCUGCAGUUCCGACAAAUACAACCUGUUUUUGUAUUGUCCUUCAAUGCAUCAUGUUGAUAAACACGGGUUUGCUAUUCAAGAGCUGCAGAGAAUCAGACAAAAUUCCAAUUUACUGGUACAUGAACAAAAAAAA